rnacentral:lncRNA from 1 species
GACGAAUACAUCACAAGAAGGGGAAUACAAAAUUAUUGGUAUUCAUUCUGCGUUUGAUAUACAAAAUGAUAUUGAAAUACAACCUGAUAUUUGAAAUACAAACUUAGUAAGACAUAUUUUGUAUUUUAUUUGGCUAAAGCAAUAUAAUUUUAUGAAUACAUACUAUAUAAAAUUGUGCGACGAAUACAUCACAAGAAGGGGAAUACAAAAUUAUUGGUAUUCAUUCUGCGUUUGAUAUACAAAAUGAUAUUGAAAUACAACCUGAUAUUUGAAAUACAAACUUAGUAAGACAUAUUUUGUAUUUUAUUUGGCUAAAGCAAUAUAAUUUUAUGAAUACAUACUAUAUAAAAUUGUGCGACGAAUACAUCACAAGAAGGGGAAUACAAAAUUAUUGGUAUUCAUUCUGCGUUUGAUAUACAAAAUGAUAUUGAAAUACAACCUGAUAUUUGAAAUACAAACUUAGUAAGACAUAUUUUGUAUUUUAUUUGGCUAAAGCAAUAUAAUUUUAUGAAUACAUACUAUAUAAAAUUGUGCGACGAAUACAUCACAAGAAGGGGAAUACAAAAUUAUUGGUAUUCAUUCUGCGUUUGAUAUACAAAAUGAUAUUGAAAUACAACCUGAUAUUUGAAAUAAAAACUAAGCUAGAAAAUACUUUCUGCAAAUUUAAAGUGAAAUAAUAAUAUAACAAAAUUGGAUAUUGAAAUAUAAAUACAAUUUAUUUUGAAUAAACUUAUUCUAUGUAUUAUAUAUGUAUUCAUCGCAACUGUAUUU